rnacentral:lncRNA from 1 species
UUCACGCCUGUUUGGUUUUAUUUUGACUUCAGAGAAGUUUUCCGAAACUCAAUCUUGGUAACUGGAGAAGGUUAUCACAUCAUCAUGUUACUCUUUGCUGAUGGUGUAUUAAGCUGGCUCCAGAACAUUUUGGCAUUCAGCGUAAUGUCAAUGGUCACAUCACUAACAUAUGCAGUUGCUAGUGCUUCCAAACGAAUUUUAUUAUAGCCAUGUCACUGCUCAUUCUCGGUAACCCUGUUACGGGCACCAAUAUUUUCGGCAUGGCUCUUGCAAUAUUAGGGGUUCUUCUUUACAAUAAGGCCAAGUAUGACGCACGGGAAGCAGAAAAGAAACGGACAAUUCUUCCUUUCUCUUCAACAAACCACAAUCAUAUAGAUUAUCAAAACCAGUUCUAUGAUCGGUUUGUUGUGAAUAAGCCAUUAAUCAAUGGAGCGUUUAACAACAACACUAAUAAAUUGAUAGCGCAGUUUGUAUGACAACUUCUCCCGUCCGCUCUAUUCUCAUGUUAAAAGGACCCUGCACUAUGAAAAUGACUGCGGCCAAGUCUCUGUGGUCCCCUGUAAUUGUGUUGCUUGUGAGGUAAAGUCUGGAGUGUUUUGAAAGUCAUGAUCUCCAUGUAAGUUGUUGGUUUUAGCAUAUUGUUAGUUUGGUUUUCAAGACUGAUUGCUACUGAUUACUGAUUGUUUUGAACAAGUGGAUGAGUGUAUGUUUUUUCUCUCCAAUUCUAAUAUUGACCAGGCGUAAAACUUUCAGCUUGUCAUUGGGAAGAGCGUUAAUACCGUAAUGAGGAAGAGUUCGAAAAACAUAAAAAAUCAACUGUUGGGACUCUCUUAAAGAAAUUAACGGAGACCAAGUGCCGACUCUGCUCUCAUCUGAAAUGAGAAAUAAAUAUCUUUACUGAAAUCCUCAAAACAUUGAACAUUUUUCAGGAAGUAACUAGUUGUGCAUCUUGCCAUGUCCAUGAUUUUGAGGAUCUCCAUAGAAGGGUAUCUCGAUUAAGACCAGAGGAGUGCUAACUGUCAUUAUCCACUAAUUUAUUGAAAUGAGUCUCAAGAAUAGGUUUUUGAAGUUUUGUGCUUCAAUUUUUCUACUUUUUUUUAGGUUUAAAAAAAAAACAAAAAAAAACCAUCUACUAUCUAUAAUGAUUGACAAAAUUUUGGGCACAGCCUAUCGCUGGAAUUGGUGAAAGUUCUCAGCCAAUCAGAAGAGACCUCUUCUUGGUCAUGAAAAUAACAUGAGCUUUGCAACUUAUUAUUCAAAUAAUGGCUCUAGAUUUUCCCCCCUUUCUGUUGGUAUUUCAGAAAAUGUUCUAAGUUAAACAUGAGACAGAUUUCCUGCAUCGUCUCUUUUUAUUCAAACAAGUGUCAGUACCUUUGAGUUAUACAAAUUUUGAGUACAUCUUUCUCUCUCAAUGUUACUCACUUGCAGGUUUUUGACAAUUCUUUUAUCGUCCUGCUAUUACUCUCAAAAUAAAACAAAACUUGUAGUAGUUAUUGAAAACACUACGGAGAAGUUUACAAUAUGGUUGACACUAAGUCUCAGUUGGAAUGAGAAAAAUUUAGUUUAUCCGUCUUUUUGAACCGAACUUACAUCGGCCACCAUGAUUCUAUGAGUAGAACUGAGAGUUUUUGAGAGCAUCGCAACAUCAACGCAGUCAAAUCUCUUAUCACUUCAUCAUGUAUGUUUUGCUUUAAAGUCUCCCUAGUUGCUUUCCUGUGCUUUUCUUCUGUAUGAAGGUAGGACAGUAAUAUAGUAUAAAGAGAGUUAAAAUGGUUUUGCAGGAAAAUUUCACACUUACUAAAGAAACCCUUAUAUUUUGUUUCUUUCUUCUUUCGACCCAAUAAAACUUACUUUUUCCUUAAAACCUCUUGAACACUACUUAAAAAUUUGAAAAACUCAAAAUCGCCUAUUUCAUGGUCAAGUUUCGGUAAAAUUCAAUUUUUGGCUGCUCUCUGAGCUGAGGUAUAAAAUUUCGUCCUUCUUAGGUAUAAAUGUUUCCUGGUAAAAGUUUCAAGGGGCCGUAAGAUUUUUUUGAAUUUAGAUGCAGGAAAUGGUCUAAUUUCAGAAUAUCGAUUAUAUUUUUAGGUCCAUGUAGAUGAAACUUGUGAUCAGUGACAUAACAUUUUCAAGCAGGAACCGAUGUUGUGGCAACGACAACAACAAAACGUUUCCCAUGAAAAAGUUUUCGCUUCAGGUUUGGAUUUCAGGGGUAGGAGAUGGGGGAGCUCUACCGCUUCUUGACACUCACACUUGUUUAUGUUUGCAUUCGAAUUCUCAGUUCUUUUCUUUAAAAAAAAAGAAAAAAGGAAAUGAAAAUGUUCAUUGGUAAAAUGUUUAUUAGAAAAGAGUUAAUACAAUGCAAGUGUGAAGAAUAAAAAAUGAAAUUAGAUUUUUCAAAUUAGAUAACUUUCUGUGUUUCUAUGAAACUCCUUUAUUGGUCACAUGGUGCUAUUCCAUAACUGCAGUAAAUGUCAUUGUGUGAACAGACUUUAUGAAUGUAUAGUUAUUAAGCCUAAUGAUCCUGCUUUUUAUUUAAAAAUCGUAUGAAUGAUUUUGAAUGGGAAAAAAAUAUGUGUGAAUAACACCGCAAACUAGCGCAUGAAAAUUGGUAAAUUUGCUCUAUCUGAAACCAAAAAUUUUUUCUUCCCAACACCAUUAUAGGCCUUUCCAAGGUAGAAAAAUUCUUUAUAUCAUGCCUAUAUUUUGCCAACUGAAAGUCAUUCUAAAAAUUUAAUAAAUCAAUGUCCACCACAGAUUUGGCACUCAACAUUUGAUCAGAGAAAAAAUUAGAUGGUAUACUAUAAAGGUAUGACCUUUUCUCCUCGGAUGGCAGUAGGUAUUUUAUUCAGCUUUUUCUAGGCUUAUUGAUGAAUCAUGUUUUGUUGCACGUAACCGUUCAUUCAUGCACAAUUUGUAUAGAGAAAUUUAGUUGUUAAUGUUUUCUCAUGUAACAGCAGAUACAAUAUUGAGGACUAAAGAAUAACACCGCCUAACUGACAAUUUUGGUAAAAAUAUGGUAGCAACUUUGCCGCAUUCUAGCGCAUAAUAGAUGCAAGCUGCCUUUUUUAGUUGUUCAGAUGUUCUAUUGUGCAGAAAAAAUUGCCAAUCUAACCUGAAAAUUACAAAAAUGGUGAAGUUUUUUCUUCAUACUGUAAAAUUGUUGGUUUGCAGAUAGGUGGUAUUGUCCCUUAGCAAUUGAUAUCUAGACUAGGGUAUUUAAAAAUGUUCACUAGAUCGAGAGGAAAAAGGGAUCGCAAGUUUGUGUCAUCUCAGAGUCUUAAAUAAGUUUUUAGAAAUCAUGUUAGUGAAAUGUUGAAGUUUUUGAUCAGAAGAUGUGAAAGGAAAACCUUGUUUUUGUUUUUGUUUAUAUACGUUGACCGAGGGUAGAUCAAAGAUAUUGCAUGAACGAUAAAAUGACUCAUCUCCGAGUUGAGGCUGUGAUUCAUGUUUAUGUGGUAUCGAAGCUGAUAUAAAAGUUUUGUGAUAGCUAAUUGAUUGCCACAUUGUUCUUGCAACAAUACUAGUUUAAUAGUCGACAUUCAUUGUUCAAACUUGUUAUUAAUUGUAAAUAAGUAUGUAUUUUUAAGGUUUUGUAAUGAAUAGUUCAAUGCCUCCUACAAAGAGGCUCUAAUCAUCAGUUUUCUGACCCUUUUGAUGCUUAUUUUUUGUUAUAAAAGUAUACGUUAUGUGAUUUGUUUCUUUCUUUCUGUGACUGAUUAACAAAUGGAUGUCAUAGCAUCGCUGCCUUUUAUAUUUUUGGGACAGAUUUUACAAAUGUUCAGAAUUCAAACAAACAAAUGGAGCGCAAGGAUGGCAAGAAGUGCUUGUAAGAAGUUAUGAGAAGCUAUUUUGUACUAUAACUAUUCUUUGCUGAAAGUAAAGCACUGUGGUCUAAGCAAAAGUUCUGCAUAAGAAAAAAAUUGUGAGUUUUCUGUAUGAUUUAGUCAUAGUGACGAUCUUAUCAUCAUAUGACCAUAUUGUCAUGUAUUCCUAAACUCUGAGGGGCAUGUGUUCUUUAUCCUAUGCCUAACUUGAGUUGUUUUAUUCGCUAUCAUUUUAGUAUAACCAUCAGCUCCUCGCUCCUGUUCCGAUCACUGAAAAUUUUAUUUGAGGAAUGAAAGAAUGGCCUUUUCCUAUUAGACUAGUUAAUAAAUAACAAAUGACUAAACGUUAAAGAAAAAAAAAUCUUUGCUCAGACGUUUUUAAGUAAAACCCAAAAUUAAAGCUCUCAUCAUUUGCAUUUUCUACUUUGUCCCAAAAAUAUUUUGUUGCACAUAACAAGAUUCUUUUAUCUCAUCUAGGAGCAAGUAUUUUAUUGACACAUCGUUUCCUGUAAUUGGGUUUUGUAAAUAAUAGUAUUGGACCUUUCAUAAUUCGAAUGAUUUAUUACAUCAUUAUUAAGUAAGUCAUCAUACUCAUGAAAUCAAAAGCAGCCGUAACUAAUGUUUUGGCCAAAAAAAUUAAGAAAAUCAAUAACACUCCUCGAGUGACAGAAAUUUUAUUAUGAAUCGCAGCAUUUAUUUUUCAACUCUUAUAAGUGCUGACAUUUUUAAGAAUGGAUCUUAAAGGAAGCAGUUAGAAAGAGAAUCAAAGAAAAUAG